rnacentral:lncRNA from 10 species
GCAGCAACGGAAAGGCGCCACGCUCGUGAGCGGAACCAGCGUUCCGGGGGCGCUCAGUGUGGGCAGGCAGGAAGCCUGGCUCCACUAGGACACACAGAUUCUCUCCUGAGCAGCUGCGAACUAUGCGCCCCUUCUACCCUUAAGAGAUGGGAUGGGAGUCCAACAAACCCAGCCAUUGCUCAGACCCCAGCCCUUCUCUCCUCUAAGAAGCAGGUUCACCUCUGCCACCGCACUCGCAUUUUUUUUUUUUUUUAAAGCCCGGCCUUUCCUAGGCGGGGUCAAGGGCCCCGCCCACCGAAGCCACGCCCAGUAGCCGCCCCGGGGCGGGGUUCCCCUCGGCUCCCGGCUGCCCUUUCCCCUCCGGCCUCUGCCGGUGCUGCUGCGCCCUGCGGAGCUCCGAACACGUGCGCAGAGGCUGGCUGUGGCAGAUGCAACUGCAGGAUGACUUGAAAGUAGGGCAUCCUUCACCCAUCUGAAGGGAGGAAAUAGUGGCAGGUGACAGUCUGCAUGUGCAGUUUUCAGAUGCCUUCACCUGAAUGACAUCUACCUCCAUCAGGACCCCAGAUGUCUGACAGCCCUGUGUGACACCAAGAUAAGUAACGAUCCCGUUGAAGAUACCACAUUACACUUAGGCUCCUGUUGGCCAUGACAGCUUCUUAGACUUGUUUUUAAUGACCUUGACAGUUUUGUUUUUUUGUUUGUUUGUUUUUGAGACGGAGUCUCUGUCAUCCAGGCUGGAGUGCAAUGUAAUGGCUCAAUCUCAGCUCACUGCAACCUCUGCCUCCCGGGUUCAAGUGAUUCUCCUGCCUCAGCCUCCCCAGUAGCUGGGAUUACAGGCAUGAGCCACCGUGCCCGGCUGCCUCCUAAAUUCUCAAAACAUUCCAUUUUUAUUCUGUGGUCUUACUUUAUUCUGUCAUGUAGAGAAUAGUGGUUGAGCCUGUUGUCUUUUGAGAGUGGAUGCUGUAGUCCUUACAUGGCUGACUUUCAGCCCGUAAGCUUAUAGUAGAGGAUGGGGAUUUUGUUAUCAGCUGCUAAAAGGGAGAAGCC